CGCGCGAGCGACCGGUCGCUGCUGAGAGGCAGAGGAAAGUCCGGACUCCGCAGGGCAGAGGAUCCGCCCGUCAAGGACGGAAGGCACGGGGCAAUCCCGCGUGAUGGAAAGUGCCACAGAAAAUAGACAGCGAAGAGUUCGCGAAGCGAGGAAGAGAUUCCGAGCGCGGGAGCGAGUGAGCAAGGGCGCAAGCCCGAACGGAACGAACGACCAAGCGAGCUCCGCUACGGUGAAAAGGCGAGGUAAGAGCUCACCGGCGCGGCUGAAACGCCGCGCGCACGGCAAACCCUCCUCGGAGCAAGAUCAAAUAGGGGAUCGAACGGGCGGCCCGCUCGGUUGGCGCCGUAAAGGAUGCCAUGAGAUUCCGGGUUGAUUGCACAGAGGAAUGAUCGGAGUGCGCCGCAAGGCGCAUGAACAGAAUCCGGCUUAUUCGCCGCGCGCCGC
rnacentral:RNase_P_RNA from 1 species